rnacentral:rRNA from 1 species
GAGCCUGCGAUUCUCCUUAAACUAGAUUUCAAAAAAGCGUAUGACCGCGUCAAUUGGGACUUCCUUAGACAGGUCCUCUUGGAAAGAGGUUUCUCGCCCGUUUGGGUUCACCGCAUGCUGCAACUGGUCUCGGGGGGCCAGACGGCUAUCGCGGUUAACGGGGAAGUAGGCCCAUACUUCCGUAACAAAUGAGGGUUGCGUCAGGGUGACCCAGCUUCUCCGCUUCUAUUUAACUUUGUGGCUGAUGCCUUGGCUGCAAUGUUAGACAGGGAUCGUCUGGCUGGCCACCUCAGAGGGGUUGCUUCCUAG